rnacentral:rRNA from 1 species
CGAACGGGUGAGUAAUACAUCGGAACAUGUCCUGUAGUGGGGGAUAGCCCGGCGAAAGCCGGAUUAAUACCGCAUACGAUCUACGGAUGAAAGCGGGGGACCUUCGGGCCUCGCGCUAUAGGGUUGGCCGAUGGCUGAUUAGCUAGUUGGUGGGGUAAAGGCCUACCAAGGCGACGAUCAGUAGCUGGUCUGAGAGGACGACCAGCCACACUGGGACUGAGACACGGCCCCAGACUCCUACGGGAGGCAGCAGUGGGGAAUUUUGGACAAUGGGCGAAAGCCUGAUCCAGCAAUGCCGCGUGUGUGAAGAAGGCCUUCGGGUUGUAAAGCACUUUUGUCCGGAAAGAAAUCCUUGACUCUAAUACAGUCGGGGGAUGACGGUACCGGAAGAAUAAGCACCGGCUAACUACGUGCCAGCAGCCGCGGUAAUACGUAGGGUGCGAGCGUUAAUCGGAAUUACUGGGCGUAAAGCGUGCGCAGGCGGUUUGCUAAGACCGAUGUGAAAUCCCCGGGCUCAACCUGGGAACUGCAUUGGUGACUGGCAGGCUAGAGUAUGGCAGAGGGGGGUAGAAUUCCACGUGUAGCAGUGAAAUGCGUAGAGAUGUGGAGGAAUACCGAUGGCGAAGGCAGCCCCCUGGGCCAAUACUGACGCUCAUGCACGAAAGCGUGGGGAGCAAACAGGAUUAGAUACCCUGGUAGUCCACGCCCUAAACGAUGUCAACUAGUUGUUGGGGAUUCAUUUCCUUAGUAACGUAGCUAACGCGUGA